rnacentral:rRNA from 1 species
AUGGUUCUUAUAUAUGGAAAGCCCUCUGUCAGAAGAGGUAAAUUAACAUGGUCUGAUUCUUGUUGGGUAUUUCAAGGUCGAAUUUCUAGCGUGGACAACAUACGCUUAUAUUGCCUGGAGCCGCCAACUUUGAAGGCAGAUGGAAAUAAUCACGAGGCUUUCUUCUUUUUACGUUUCCUGCCGCAAGCUAUCUGCAGCAGGGUUCCUUGUAAAAUAUAUGCAAUGUGUCUUGUCUUCUGCGGAUCACAAUAUAUCUGUUUUUUUAGCAGUAGUUUUUGUAUUGUAUUGUCAAGCCUUUUGUGGACCUUAUCUAAUGGCCAGAACUUUAGUCUCUAG